rnacentral:rRNA from 1 species
GAUGAACGCUGGCGGCGUACCUAAUACAUGCAAGUCGUACGGAAAGGCCCUUCGGGGUACUCGAGUGGCGGACGGCUGAGUAACGCGUGGGAACGUGCCCCAAAGUGAGGGAUAACGCACCGAAAGGUGUGCUAAUACCGCAUAUGGUCUUCGGAUUAAAGCUUCGGCGCUUUGGGAGCGGCCCGCGUACGAUUAGAUAGUUGGUGAGGUAAUGGCUCACCAAGUCGACGAUCGUUCGCUGGUCUGAGAGGAUGAUCAGCCAGACUGGGACUGAGACACGGCACAGCCUCCUACGGGAGGCAGCAGUAAGGAAUCUUCCACAAUGGGGGCAACCCUGAUGGAGCAACGCCGCGUGCAGGAUGAAGGUUUUCGGAUCGUAAACUGCUUUUAUAAGUGAAGAAUAUGACGGUAACUUAUGAAUAAGGAUCGGCUAACUACGUGCCAGCAGCCGCCGCAGUAA